rnacentral:rRNA from 1 species
ACUACGGGUGGCAGCAGUGAGGAAUAUUGGUCAAUGGCCGGAAGGCUGAACCAGCCAUGCCGCGUGAAGGUCAGUGCCCUAUGGGCGUUAAACUUCUUUUGUGCGGGAGCAAUAAUGGUCACGUGUGGCCAGACGAGAGUACCGUACGAAUAAGCAUCGGCUAACUCCGUGCCAGCAGCCGCGGUAAUACGGGGGAUGCAAGCGUUAUCCGGAUUUAUUGGGGUUAAAGGGUGCGUAGGCUGUGAGGUAAGUCAGCGGUGAAAUGCCCCCGCUCAACGGGGUGAAGUGCCAUUGAUACUGCCUUGCUGGAAUGCGGAUGCCGUGGGAGGAAUGUGUGGUGUAGCGGUGAAAUGCUUAGAUAUCACGAAGAACCCCGAUUGCGAAGGCAGCUUACUAAACUGUGACUGACAUUGAUGCUCGAAAGUGUGGGUAUCAAACAGGAUUAGAUACCCGUGUAGUC